rnacentral:rRNA from 1 species
CCUACGGGAGGCAGCAGUGGGGAAUUUUGGACAAUGGGGGCAACCCUGAUCCAGCCAUGCCGCGUGAGUGAAGAAGGCCUUCGGGUUGUAAAGCUCUUUCGGACGGAAAGAAAUUGCCAUCUCUAACAUAGGUGGUGGAUGACGGUACCGUAAGAAGAAGCACCGGCUAACUACGUGCCAGCAGCCGCGGUAAUACGUAGGGUGCGAGCGUUAAUCGGAAUUACUGGGCGUAAAGCGUGCGCAGGCGGUUUUGUAAGACAGGGGUAAAAUCCCCGGGCUUAACCGGGGAACUGCGCUUGUGACUGCAAGGCUAGAGGGCGGCAGAGGGGGGUAGAAUUCCCGGUGUAGUGGUAAAAUGCGUAGAGAUCGGGAGGACCACCCGUGGCGUAGGCGGCGUCCGGGCCGACACCUGACGCUGAAGCGCGAAAGCGGGGGGAGCGAACGGGAUUAGAUACCCCUGUAGU